rnacentral:rRNA from 1 species
AGAGUUUGAUCCUGGCUCAGAUUGAACGUUGGCGGCAGGCCUAACACAUGCAAGUCGAGCGGAAACGACACCUUCGGGUGGGCGUCGAGCGGCGGACGGGUGAGUAACGCAUAGGAAUCUGCCCGGUCGUGGGGGAUAACCUGGGGAAACUCAGGCUAAUACCGCAUACGUCCUACGGGAGAAAGGGGGCUCCGGCUCCCGCGAUCGGAUGAGCCUAUGUCGGAUUAGCCGGCUGGUGAGGUAACGGCUCACCAGGGCGACGAUCCGUAGCUGGUUUGAGAGGAUGAUCAGCCACACCGGGACUGAGACACGGCCCGGACUCCUACGGGAGGCAGCAGUGGGGAAUAUUGGACAAUGGGCGCAAGCCUGAUCCAGCCAUGCCGCGUGUGUGAAGAAGGCUUUCGGGUUGUAAAGCACUUUCAGUGAGGAAGAACGCUGUCGGGUUAAUACCCCGGCAGAGAGACAUCACUCACGGAAGAAGCACCGGCUAACUCCGUGCCAGCAGCCGCGGUAAUACGGAGGGUGCAAGCGUUAAUCGGAAUGACUGGGCGUAAAGCGCGCGUAGGCGGCACGAUCAGCCGGUUGUGAAAGCCCCGGGCUCAACCCGGGAACCGCAUCCGGAACUGUCGCGCUGGAGUGCAGGAGAGGAAGGUAGAAUUCCCGGUGUAGCGGUGAAAUGCGUAGAGAUCGGGAGGAAUACCAGUGGCGAAGGCGGCCUUCUGGACUGACACUGACGCUGAGGCGCGAAAGCAUGGGUAGCAAACAGGAUUAGAUACCCUGGUAGUCCAUGCCGUAAACGAUGUCAACUAGUUGUUCGUGUCAUUAAGACGUGAGUAACGCAGCUAACGCACUAAGUUGACCGCCUGGGGAGUACGGCCGCAAGGUUAAAACUCAAAUGAAUUGACGGGGGCCCGCACAAGCGGUGGAGCAUGUGGUUUAAUUCGAUGCAACGCGAAGAACCUUACCAUCCCUUGACAUCCAGUGAAUUUUCCAGAGAUGGAUUAGUGCCUUCGGGAACACUGAGACAGGUGCUGCAUGGCUGUCGUCAGCUCGUGUUGUGAGAUGUUGGGUUAAGUCCCGCAACGAGCGCAACCCUUAUCCUUAGUUGCCAGCACGUAAAGGUGGGAACUCUGGGGAGACUGCCGGUGAUAAACCGGAGGAAGGUGGGGACGACGUCAAGUCAUCAUGGCCCUUACGGGAUGGGCUACACACGUGCUACAAUGGCGCGUACAAAGGGCAGCAAGCCAGCGAUGGUUAGCGAAUCCCAUAAAGCGCGUCGUAGUCCGGAUUGGAGUCUGCAACUCGACUCCAUGAAGUCGGAAUCGCUAGUAAUCGUGGAUCAGAAUGCCACGGUGAAUACGUUCCCGGGCCUUGUACACACCGCCCGUCACACCAUGGGAGUGGGCUGCACCAGAAGUGGUUAGUUUAACCUUCGGGAGAACGAUCACCACGGUGUGGUUCAUGACUGGGGUGAAGUCGUAACAAGGUAACCA